rnacentral:rRNA from 1 species
UGGAGCUGAAAUCAGUCGAAGAUACCAGCUGGCUGCAACUGUUUAUUAAAAACACAGCACUGUGCAAACACGAAAGUGGACGUAUACGGUGUGACGCCUGCCCGGUGCCGGAAGGUUAAUUGAUGGGGUUAUCCUCGCGGAGAAGCUCUUGAUCGAAGCCCCGGUAAACGGCGGCCGUAACUAUAACGGUCCUAAGGUAGCGAAAUUCCUUGUCGGGUAAGUUCCGACCUGCACGAAUGGCGUAAUGAUGGCCAGGCUGUCUCCACCCGAGACUCAGUGAAAUUGAACUCGCUGUGAAGAUGCAGUGUACCCGCGGCAAGACGGAAAGACCCCGUGAACCUUUACUAUAGCUUGACACUGAACACUGGUCCUUGAUGUGUAGGAUAGGUGGGAGGCUUUGAAGUGUGGACGCCAGUCUGCAUGGAGCCGUCCUUGAAAUACCACCCUUUAAUGGCUGGUGUUCUAACGUGGGCCCGUGAUCCGGGUUGCGGACAGUGUCUGGUGGGUAGUUUGACUGGGGCGGUCUCCUCCUAAAGAGUAACGGAGGAGCACGAAGGUCAGCUAAUCCUGGUCGGACAUCAGGAGGUUAGUGCAAUGGCAUAAGCUGGCUUGACUGCGAGCGUGACGGCGCGAGCAGGUGCGAAAGCAGGUCAUAGUGAUCCGGUGGUUCUGAAUGGAAGGGCCAUCGCUCAACGGAUAAAAGGUACUCCGGGGAUAACAGGCUGAUACCGCCCAAGAGUUCAUAUCGACGGCGGUGUUUGGCACCUCGAUGUCGGCUCAUCACAUCCUGGGGCUGAAGUAGGUCCCAAGGGUAUGGCUGUUCGCCAUUUAAAGUGGUACGCGAGCUGGGUUUAGAACGUCGUGAGACAGUUCGGUCCCUAUCUGCCGUGGGCGCUGGAGAAUUGAGGGGGGCUGCUCCUAGUACGAGAGGACCGGAGUGGACGCAUCACUGGUGUUCGGGUUGUCAUGCCAAUGGCAUUGCCCGGUAGCUAAAUGCGGAAGAGAUAAGUGCUGAAAGCAUCUAAGCACGAAACUUGCCCCGAGAUGAGUUCUCCCUGACUCUUUGAGGGUCCUGAAGGAACGUUGAAGACGACGACGUUGAUAGGCCGGGUGUGUAAGCGCAGCGAUGCGUUGAGCUAACCGGUACUAAUGAACCGUGAGGCUUAACCUU